AGUCGCUUUACUCAGCCACUUGGUGGCUGGUUUUGUGGGAGAAAACCCCCUGAAAGACCCGUCCGAAGCUAAUAAAAGUGCCUCCUCUGUCGGAGACAAUCGUGCGAGGCGAAGGCGGAGCGUGGUAGCAGGCGCUCAGCAGAGAGCAAACUCCUGAAGUACGGCAAAUGCAAACAAACUUCAGUCAUGUGCUGAAAGUCGCGAGUUGUGGGUGUGCGUUCACCGUCUGAAAACACGCGAAUAAAUAAACAAAAACGACACGUGACGAGGUGCGAGCGAUAUUUUGUGCGAAAAUGCUGCGACUUCAGGAGGACUUCCGGUAGCAGCAGGUGAGUAGUACCCUGGAGGGCGUCCCCGCCCGCGGGCUGCCAUGUGCCAGCGGCGCCCCUCAACCCCCCACAUUCCGCCGCCUCGAAAGCUCCCAACACCCCCAAGCCGCCGCCGCCCCCGAAGGCUACAUCCACGAGCACUACAGCCCGAAAAGUGGCCGAAAAUUCGACGAGACGCGGCAGAUCUUCAAUCGAUCACCUUG